GGAACACACACAUUCUGACUAUAGAACCGAUACUCCUAAAUGAUGGAACUUAUAAAUACCUAGGAUCACAAUUGUUUUUGUUCAAACAAGGCAGGCUCUGGGUUUAGAAGAGUUAAAAGAGAAUGUGACCAGUGUUCCUUUUCAGGGUUCUAACAGUAUUAUGGGCUGCCUCAGCAUAGAGUAAACUGAACAUCACAGAGGAGAAUCGAGCCAGUGUUGAAUGUCUGCUGAGGAAAGAUGCCUCUGAUCCAGGGUGAGGCUAUUGACCUAAGUGAAUCUAAGGUCUUUUCCAAUACUUGGAGUUUAUGACUCUCGUGACUUGUGUUCUGUACAUUGCUUCUUGGCAUUAGAUCAGCUAAUUUUGAUUUUCCCGCUGGUCUCUCUCAGAUGGUGUCACCUGUUGGCAUUACAAAAGCAUAUAUGGUCUUGACCAUACUGUUAAAUUGUCUUCAUAUGAGAAUAUGUGGGAAAUCUAGAAAGAAUAAUUUCUGAGAGCUUAGUGGUUUUUUUCUCAUUCCAGUGAAUCAGGCAAUAAACAACACCCAAAGAGCAAAGCUUUUACUUGAGUCCCAGCUGGUACAGUGGUGUGACCUGCGAUUAUUGUAGGGUAUGGAGAUCCUAUAAAAGUGAUAAAUCUUUGCUUGAAAGCCGCUGACCACACAGACACCUAGCAGGAUUCUGGGAACUCAGAAUAUUUGAGCAGGAAAGGAUCUGACUAUCAACUGAAAGACAUUUUCAUUUUGACACAUGAGGAAACCAGAGAGAGCAAGAGAUCCUUGGUCCUGUCCACACUUUCAAUGGGAGAGGAUUGCAAAAGAGUGUGAGUAUGAGAAGGUAGGGCCAUGGGGGUCUCCUGUGAGUCCACCUGCCAUAAUCACUGUAGGCUGUUGGAGACUCAUGUGAAGUGGAGGAAGAACUAGAGGUCAACACCAGUCCAAACCAGGCAUUCAAGUCCAGCAUCUCUGAACUGCUGUCCAACCUCCUGAUGCCUUUUCUGUCUUCUGCAAGCAUAACAUGUGUACUGAGUCUGAU
rnacentral:lncRNA from 13 species